rnacentral:rRNA from 1 species
UACGUAGGGGGCAAGCGUUGUCCGGAUUUAUUGGGCGUAAAGAGCGUGUAGGCGGCCAAGUAGGUCCGGUGUGAAAACUCGAGGCUUAACCUCGAGAUGUCAUCGGAAACCAUUUGGCUAGAGUCCGGAAGAGGAAAGUGGAAUUCCUGGUGUAGCGGUGAAAUGCGUAGAGAUCGGAAAGAACACCAACGGCGAAAGCACUCUGCUGGGCCGACACUGACACUGAGAGACGAAAGCUAGGGGAGCGAAUGGG